rnacentral:rRNA from 1 species
CUACGGGUCGCUGCAGUGGGGAAUCUUAGACAAUGGGGGAAACCCUGAUCUAGCCAUGCCGCGUGAGCGACGACGGCCCUAGGGUUGUAAAGCUCUUUCAGCAGGGAAGAUAAUGACGGUACCUGCAGAAGAAGUCCCGGCUAACUCCGUGCCAGCAGCCGCGGUAAUACGGAGGGGACUAGCGUUGUUCGGAAUUACUGGGCGUAAAGCGCGCGUAGGCGGAUUGUUAAGUCGGGGGUGAAAUCCCGGGGCUCAACCCCGGAACUGCCCUCGAUACUGGCAGUCUUGAGUUCGCGAGAGGUGAGUGGAAUUCCGAGUGUAGAGGUGAAAUUCGUAGAUAUUCGGAGGAACACCAGUGGCGAAGGCGGCUCACUGGCUCGAUACUGACGCCGAGGUGCGAAAGCGUGGGGAGCAAACAGGAUUAGAUACCCGUGUAGUC